UCCGGCGUGGUCCAGUGGCUAGGAUAUCUGGCUUUCACCCAGAGGCCCGGGUUCGAUUCCCGGCGUCGGAA
rnacentral:tRNA from 1 species